CUUUAGCCCCGAUAGAAGUGGAAAUCCUUGUGUGCCGGGGUUCGGCAUACAAGAUUGCAACGGAUAGCGGGACCCAUC
rfam:Flavobacterium sp. EM1308 contig00004, whole genome shotgun sequence.